rnacentral:rRNA from 1 species
AAGGAAUAUUGCUCAAUGGGAGAAAUCCUGAAGCAGCAACGCCGCGUGGAGGAUGAAGGGUCUAUGACUUGUAAACUCCUGUAAAGAAGGAAAAAAUUCCCAUUAGAUGGGAGAUGAUGGUACUUCUGGAGUAAGCCCCGGCUAACUACGUGCCAGCAGCCGCGGUAAUACGUAGGGGGCAAGCGUUGUCCGGAUUUACUGGGUGUAAAGGGUGCUCAGGCGGAUUUGUAAGUCAGAGGUGAAAUCUUACAGCUUAACUGUGAAACUGCCUUUGGUACUGCAAGCCUAGAGUAUGGAAGAGAGUGAUGGAAUAUCUGGUGUAGCAGUGAAAUGCGUAGAUAUCAGAUAGAACACCAAUGGCGAAGGCAGUCACUUGGUCCAUUACUGACGCUAGAGCACGAAAGCGUGGGUAGCAAACA